rnacentral:rRNA from 1 species
GAUGAACGCUGGCGGCGUGCCUAAUACAUGCAAGUCGAGCGAACAGACGAGGAGCUUGCUCCUCUGACGUUAGCGGCGGACGGGUGAGUAACACGUGGAUAACCUACCUAUAAGACUGGGAUAACUUCGGGAAACCGGAGCUAAUACCGGAUAAUAUAUUGAACCGCAUGGUUCAAUAGUGAAAGACGGUUUUGCUGUCACUUAUAGAUGGAUCCGCGCCGCAUUAGCUAGUUGGUAAGGUAACGGCUUACCAAGGCAACGAUGCGUAGCCGACCUGAGAGGGUGAUCGGCCACACGGGAACUGAGACACGGUCCAGACUCCUACGGGAGGCAGCAGUAGGGAAUCGGACGCAAUGGGCGAAAGCCUGACGGAGCAACGCCGCGUGAGUGAUGAAGGCCUUCGGAUCGUAAAACUCUGUUAUGAGGGAAGAACAAAUGUGUAAGUAACUAUGCACGUCUUGACGGUACCGAAUCAGAAAGCCACGGCUAACUACGUG